AUUGAACGCUGGCGGCAUGCCUUACACAUGCAAGUCGAACGGUAACAGGUCUUCGGAUGCUGACGAGUGGCGAACGGGUGAGUAAUACAUCGGAACGUGCCUAGUAGUGGGGGAUAACUACUCGAAAGAGUGGCUAAAACCGCAUGAGAUCUACGGAUGAAAGCAGGGGAUCGCAAGACCUUGUGCUACUAGAGCGGCCGAUGGCAGAUUAGGUAGUUGGUGGGAUAAAAGCUUACCAAGCCGACGAUCUGUAGCUGGUCUGAGAGGACGAUCAGCCACACUGGGACUGAGACACGGCCCAGACUCCUACGGGAGGCAGCAGUGGGGAAUUUUGGACAAUGGGCGCAAGCCUGAUCCAGCAAUGUCGCGUGCAGGAUGAAGGCCUUCGGGUUGUAAACUGCUUUUGUACGGAACGAAAAGCCCUAGGUUAAUACCCUGGGGCCAUGACGGUACCGUAAGAAUAAGCACCGGCUAACUACGUGCCAGCCGCCGCAGUAACAC
rnacentral:rRNA from 1 species